GGGGAAAAGAGAUUGAGGGAG
rnacentral:miRNA from 1 species